rnacentral:misc_RNA from 1 species
GAACUGGUGAGCUAUGUCUUAGCUUCAUACGCUAGAUUUCUAUGGGAAGCAGAGGACGAAAAUGAAGAUGGCCAACAAGAAAAUAAAUCUUCACCCAGUUUCUUGCAUAGCUCUCCCCCGUCCCCACCAUGACCGUCCCCCUUUGGCUGCAGCUUCCUAGUAACAUCACAAUGUGAACUGUGAUUUUUUUUUGUGUAUAUUAUGCAAUGAAAUUCUAAUUCUAAUGCUUUAAUGCUAAAUUAGUAAUUAAUUAC